rnacentral:lncRNA from 1 species
GUGAUUUAGCAUUAUAUCUCCCUGAUAAAACAGCUUUUGGAGUAUUGCAACUGAAGCAUAAAUCCUGAACAAGAAGCAGUGCUUUCAGAUGUCGUCCAAAGCAAGUCCUCCUCCAAGAAGAUGCUCUUCCUGUGCAUUUGCUUAUGAAAUAAAAAAACGUAUAAUUAUGGUAAACAAAAUAAGAGUAAUUAGAGCCCCACAGCCUAAGUUAGCGAGAACGCAGGUGUGCUCCAGAAACAAAAAGGCACUCCAGUUUGAAGGGAGCAAGGGAUUUCUUUUCCUUCUUGGCUAACAGUCCUUCACCUGGCUUGAAGAGAAAGCAGAUGGCUCUCUGCUGGCUGUGGAAAGAAAAUCACCUGAGAGGGGAAAGGAAGAAGCAGCUUGAGAAACUGCAACCCGCAAAAGAAUUCAGAUGAAAAUGAGUAUGUGUGCCGAGAGGUUUAGCUAAACACUAUAAAAAUUGACUAGUACAUGAUAAAACUCUCCAAUAUGAAGAGAUCCAUGGGCUGUCUAGACCGACUUUUCUUUUUUUUUUUCCUUCUUAAAAGCAAACAGAACCACACAUAACUAAAUAAGUGCAAAAUUCACACAUGGAUGAUGCCAGAACGUAACAGCAUUGCAUGGAAUAAAUACUUCAGUAAGCUUGGUUCUGGUUUUCCU